rnacentral:rRNA from 1 species
GUGAACGCUGGCGGUAGGCCUAACACAUGCAAGUCGACCGGCAGCACAGUAAGAGCUUGCUCUUACGGGUGGCGAGUGGCGGACGGGUGAGGAAUACAUCGGAAUCUACUUUUUCGUGGGGGAUAACGUAGGGAAACUUACGCUAAUACCGCAUACGACCUACGGGUGAAAGCAGGGGAUCUUCGGACCUUGCGCGAUUGAAUGAGCCGAUGUCGGAUUAGCUAGUUGGCGGGGUAAAGGCCCACCAAGCCGACGAUCCGUAGCUGGUCUGAGAGGAUGAUCAGCCACACGGGAACUGAGACACGGUCCAGACUCCUACGGGAGGCAGCAGUGGGGAAUAUUGGACAAUGGGCGCAAGCCUGAUCCAGCCAUACCGCGUGGGUGAAGAAGGCCUUCGGGUUGUAAAGCCCUUUUGUCGGGAAAGAAAAGCAGCAGGUUAAUACCCCGCUGUUCUGACGGUACCCAAAGAAUAAGCACCGGCUAACUUCGU